GAUGAACGCUAGCGGCAGGCUUAAUACAUGCAAGUCAAGGGGGUAGCAAUACAACCGGCGCACGGGUGAGUAACGCGUACACAACAUACCAUAUACUGGAGUAUAGCUUUGGGAAACUGAAGGUAAUCCUCCAUAACAUUGCGAGAGGGCAUCUGAUUGCAAUUAAAGUUUCGGCGGUAUAUGAUUGGUGUGCGUUUGAUUAGCUAGUUGGUAGGGUAACGGCCUACCAAGGCGACGAUCAAUAGCUGGCGUGAGAGCGCGACCAGCCACACUGGAACUGAGACACGGUCCAGACUCCUACGGGAGGCAGCAGUAGGGAAUAUUGGACAAUGGAGGAAACUCUGAUCCAGCCAUGCCGCGUGAUAGAUGAAGGCCCUCUGGGUUGUAAAUAUCUUUUAUCUGGGAAGAAACACUCCUAUUCUUAGGAACUUGACGGUACCAGAGGAAUAAGCACCGGCUAACUCCGUGCCAGCAGCCGCGGUAAUGUAG
rnacentral:rRNA from 1 species